rnacentral:rRNA from 1 species
UGUCGGCAGCCUACCAUGCAAGUCGAACGGUAACAGGAAACAGCUUGCUGCUUCGCUGACGAGUGGCGGACGGGUGAGUAAUGUCUGGGAAACUGCCUGAUGGAGGGGGAUAACUACUGGAAACGGUAGCUAAUACCGCAUAACGUCGCAAGACCAAAGAGGGGGACCUUCGGGCCUCUUGCCAUCGGAUGUGCCCAGAUGGGAUUAGCUUGUUGGUGGGGUAACGGCUCACCAAGGCGACGAUCCCUAGCUGGUCUGAGAGGAUGACCAGCCACACUGGAACUGAGACACGGUCCAGACUCCUACGGGAGGCAGCAGUGGGGAAUAUUGCACAAUGGGCGCAAGCCUGAUGCAGCCAUGCCGCGUGUAUGAAGAAGGCCUUCGGGUUGUAAAGUACUUUCAGCGGGGAGGAAGGGAGUAAAGUUAAUACCUUUGCUCAUUGACGUUACCCGCAGAAGAAGCACCGGCUAACUCCGUGCCAGCAGCCGCGGUAAUACGGAGGGUGCAAGCGUUAAUCGGAAUUACUGGGCGUAAAGCGCACGCAGGCGGUUUGUUAAGUCAGAUGUGAAAUCCCCGGGCUCAACCUGGGAACUGCAUCUGAUACUGGCAAGCUUGAGUCUCGUAGAGGGGGGGUAGAAUUCCAGGUGUAGCGGUGAAAUGCGUAGAGAUCUGGAGGAAUACCGGUGGCGAAGGCGGCCCCCUGGACGAAGACUGACGCUCAGGUGCGAAAGCGUGGGGAGCAAACAGGAUUAGAUACCCUGGUAGUCCACGCCGUAAACGAUGUCGACUUGGGAGGUUGUGCCCUUGAGGCGUGGCUUCCGGAGCUAACGCGUUAAGUCGACCGCCUGGGGGAGUACGGCCGCAAGGUUAAAACUCAAAUGAAUUGACGGGGGCCCGCACAAGCGGUGGAGCAUGUGGUUUAAUUCGAUGCAACGCGAAGAACCUUACCUGGUCUUGACAUCCACGGAAGUUUUCAGAAAAUGAAAAUGUGCCUUCGGGAACCGUGAGACAGGUGCUGCAUGGCUGUCGUCAGCUCGUGUUGUGAAAUGGUUGGGUUAAGUCCCGCAACGAGCGCAACCCUUAUCCUUUGUUGCCAGCGGUCCGGCCGGGAACUCAAAGGAAACUGCCAUUGAUAAACUGGAGGAAAAGGGGGGGGAUGAACGUCAAGUCUUCAUGGGCCCUUACAAACCAGGGGUUACCACCUUUGUUCAAAUGGGGCCAAACAAAAAGAAAACGAACCUCCCGGAGAACAACCGGACCUCCUAAAAAUGCGGCUUUAUUCCCGGAUUGGAGUGUUGCACCUCCACCUCUUGAAUCCGAAACUCUUUUAAUCGGUGAUAAAAUA